rnacentral:rRNA from 1 species
UACGGGGGGAGCAAGCGUUGUUCGGAUUUACUGGGCGUAAAGGGCGCGUAGGCGGCCGUGCAAGUGGAAGGUGAAAUCCCUCGGCUCAACCGAGGAACUGCCUUUCAAACUGCAUGGCUUGAGUCCGGGAGAGGUGAGUGGAAUUCCCAGUGUAGCGGUGAAAUGCGUAGAUAUUGGGAGGAACACCAGUGGCGAAGGCGGCUCACUGGACCGGAACUGACGCUGAGGCGCGAAAGCGUGGGGAGCAAACGGG